rnacentral:tRNA from 1 species
GCUGAUGUGGCGAAAUGGCAGACGCAGUUGACUCAAAAUCAACCGGGCUUUGGUCCGUGUCGGUUCAAGUCCGACCAUCAGCA